ACUAAGCGUACACGGUGGAUGCCCUGGCAGUCAGAGGCGAUGAAGGACGUGCUAAUCUGCGAUAAGCGUCGGUAAGGUGAUAUGAACCGUUAUAACCGGCGAUUUCCGAAUGGGGAAACCCAGUGUGUUUCGACACACUAUCAUUAACUGAAUCCAUAGGUUAAUGAGGCGAACCGGGGGAACUGAAACAUCUAAGUACCCCGAGGAAAAGAAAUCAACCGAGAUUCCCCCAGUAGCGGCGAGCGAACGGGGAGCAGCCCAGAGCCUGAAUCAGUGUGUGUGUUAGUGGAAGCGUCUGGAAAGGCGCGCGAUACAGGGUGACAGCCCCGUACACAAAAAUGCACAUGUUGUGAGCUCGAUGAGUAGGGCGGGACACGUGGUAUCCUGUCUGAAUAUGGGGGGACCAUCCUCCAAGGCUAAAUACUCCUGACUGACCGAUAGUGAACCAGUACCGUGAGGGAAAGGCGAAAAGAACCCCGGCGAGGGGAGUGAAAAAGAACCUGAAACCGUGUACGUACAAGCAGUGGGAGCCUCUUUUAUGGGGUGACUGCGUACCUUUUGUAUAAUGGGUCAGCGACUUAUAUUCUGUAGCAAGGUUAACCGAAUAGGGGAGCCGAAGGGAAACCGAGUCUUAACUGGGCGUUAAGUUGCAGGGUAUAGACCCGAAACCCGGUGAUCUAGCCAUGGGCAGGUUGAAGGUUGGGUAACACUAACUGGAGGACCGAACCGACUAAUGUUGAAAAAUUAGCGGAUGACUUGUGGCUGGGGGUGAAAGGCCAAUCAAACCGGGAGAUAGCUGGUUCUCCCCGAAAGCUAUUUAGGUAGCGCCUCGUGAAUUCAUCUCCGGGGGUAGAGCACUGUUUCGGCAAGGGGGUCAUCCCGACUUACCAACCCGAUGCAAACUGCGAAUACCGGAGAAUGUUAUCACGGGAGACACACGGCGGGUGCUAACGUCCGUCGUGAAGAGGGAAACAACCCAGACCGCCAGCUAAGGUCCCAAAGUCAUGGUUAAGUGGGAAACGAUGUGGGAAGGCCCAGACAGCCAGGAUGUUGGCUUAGAAGCAGCCAUCAUUUAAAGAAAGCGUAAUAGCUCACUGGUCGAGUCGGCCUGCGCGGAAGAUGUAACGGGGCUAAACCAUGCACCGAAGCUGCGGCAGCGACACUAUGUGUUGUUGGGUAGGGGAGCGUUCUGUAAGCCUGUGAAGGUGUGCUGUGAGGCAUGCUGGAGGUAUCAGAAGUGCGAAUGCUGACAUAAGUAACGAUAAAGCGGGUGAAAAGCCCGCUCGCCGGAAGACCAAGGGUUCCUGUCCAACGUUAAUCGGGGCAGGGUGAGUCGACCCCUAAGGCGAGGCCGAAAGGCGUAGUCGAUGGGAAACAGGUUAAUAUUCCUGUACUUGGUGUUACUGCGAAGGGGGGACGGAGAAGGCUAUGUUGGCCGGGCGACGGUUGUCCCGGUUUAAGCGUGUAGGCUGGUUUUCCAGGCAAAUCCGGAAAAUCAAGGCUGAGGCGUGAUGACGAGGCACUACGGUGCUGAAGCAACAAAUGCCCUGCUUCCAGGAAAAGCCUCUAAGCAUCAGGUAACAUCAAAUCGUACCCCAAACCGACACAGGUGGUCAGGUAGAGAAUACCAAGGCGCUUGAGAGAACUCGGGUGAAGGAACUAGGCAAAAUGGUGCCGUAACUUCGGGAGAAGGCACGCUGAUAUGUAGGUGAAGUCCCUCGCGGAUGGAGCUGAAAUCAGUCGAAGAUACCAGCUGGCUGCAACUGUUUAUUAAAAACACAGCACUGUGCAAACACGAAAGUGGACGUAUACGGUGUGACGCCUGCCCGGUGCCGGAAGGUUAAUUGAUGGGGUCAGCGCAAGCGAAGCUCUUGAUCGAAGCCCCGGUAAACGGCGGCCGUAACUAUAACGGUCCUAAGGUAGCGAAAUUCCUUGUCGGGUAAGUUCCGACCUGCACGAAUGGCGUAAUGAUGGCCAGGCUGUCUCCACCCGAGACUCAGUGAAAUUGAACUCGCUGUGAAGAUGCAGUGUACCCGCGGCAAGACGGAAAGACCCCGUGAACCUUUACUAUAGCUUGACACUGAACAUUGAGCCUUGAUGUGUAGGAUAGGUGGGAGGCUUUGAAGUGUGGACGCCAGUCUGCAUGGAGCCGACCUUGAAAUACCACCCUUUAAUGUUUGAUGUUCUAACGUUGACCCGUGAUCCGGGUUGCGGACAGUGUCUGGUGGGUAGUUUGACUGGGGCGGUCUCCUCCUAAAGAGUAACGGAGGAGCACGAAGGUUGGCUAAUCCUGGUCGGACAUCAGGAGGUUAGUGCAAUGGCAUAAGCCAGCUUGACUGCGAGCGUGACGGCGCGAGCAGGUGCGAAAGCAGGUCAUAGUGAUCCGGUGGUUCUGAAUGGAAGGGCCAUCGCUCAACGGAUAAAAGGUACUCCGGGGAUAACAGGCUGAUACCGCCCAAGAGUUCAUAUCGACGGCGGUGUUUGGCACCUCGAUGUCGGCUCAUCACAUCCUGGGGCUGAAGUAGGUCCCAAGGGUAUGGCUGUUCGCCAUUUAAAGUGGUACGCGAGCUGGGUUUAGAACGUCGUGAGACAGUUCGGUCCCUAUCUGCCGUGGGCGCUGGAGAACUGAGGGGGGCUGCUCCUAGUACGAGAGGACCGGAGUGGACGCAUCACUGGUGUUCGGGUUGUCAUGCCAAUGGCACUGCCCGGUAGCUAAAUGCGGAAGAGAUAAGUGCUGAAAGCAUCUAAGCACGAAACUUGCCCCGAGAUGAGUUCUCCCUGACUCCUUGAGAGUCCUGAAGGAACGUUGAAGACGACGACGUUGAUAGGCCGGGUGUGUAAGCGCAGCGAUGCGUUGAGCUAACCGGUACUAAUGAACCGUGAGGCUUAACC
rnacentral:rRNA from 1 species